rnacentral:rRNA from 1 species
GAUGAACGCUGGCGGCGUGCCUAAUACAUGCAAGUCGAGCGAACAGACGAGGAGCUUGCUCCUCUGACGUUAGCGGCGGACGGGUGAGUAACACGUGGAUAACCUACCUAUAAGACUGGGAUAACUUCGGGAAACCGGAGCUAAUACCGGAUAAUAUAUUGAACCGCAUGGUUCAAUAGUGAAAGACGGUUUUGCUGUCACUUAUAGAUGGAUCCGCGCCGCAUUAGCUAGUUGGUAAGGUAACGGCUUACCAAGGCAACGAUGCGUAGCCGACCUGAGAGGAGGAAUGGGCCAACUGGGACUGAGACACGGCCCAGACUCCUACGGGAGGCAGGCGUGGGGAAUUUUUGCGAAAGGGCGCAAACCUGAGAGAGGAAAGCCGGGUGGAGGAAGAAGGUCUUCGGGUUGUAAAAACUUUUUUAAUAGGGAAAAACGAAUGUGGAAAUAACCAGGAGGUAAUGAAGGGAACGUAAGAAAAAGCCCCGGCUAAAUACGUG